CCUACGGGGGGCUGCAGUCGAGAAUCUUCGGCAAUGAGCGCAAGCUUGACCGAGCGACGCCGCGUGCGGGAUGAAGGCCUUCGGGUUGUAAACCGCGAAAGUAGGGAGGAAAUCGCUAGGGGUUCUCCCCUAGUGUUGACCUAUCUUCAGUAAGGACGGGCUAAGUUCGUGCCAGCAGCCGCGGUAAUACGAACCGUCCAAACGUUAUUCGGAUUUAUUGGGCUUAAAGGGUAUGUAGGCGGCCCUUCAAGUCGGGUGUGAAAGCCCUCGGCUCA
rnacentral:rRNA from 1 species